AAGCCGGAGUUGAGACAGCCGCGGGCUAUGCGCCUCCAGAGGAGAUCGCGGCUACUGAGGAAGCGCAGGCGGCGGCAGACCUGGCCCAGGCGGCCCAAGGCCUGCGCGUCCAGGAGCCUGGAGUACUGACAACGCAGAAGGAUUCUGGUCCAAAAUGGCAAAGUAGCCCUCCACAGAGAGUGGAGAAGGAAAAUAUGAGUCUAGUGUUGUGUUAUUCUUUCUUAUAGUACUUUCCACUCUACAAAAGCCUGAAAUGCUUGGGGAAAUUUCUCCCUCAAAAUUAAAAAAUAAAUAAAUUUUAAGAAGUUCA